UACGUAGGGCGCAAGCGUUGUCCGGAAUUAUUGGGCGUAAAGAGCUCGUAGGCGGUUUGUCGCGUCUGUCGUGAAAGCUUGGGGCUUAACCCCAAGUCUGCGGUGGAUACGGGCAGACUAGAGGCAGGUAGGGGAGAACGGAAUUCCCGGUGUAGCGGUGAAAUGCGCAGAUAUCAGGAAGAACACCCGUGGCGAAAGCGGCUCUCUGGAACGGUACUGACGCUGAGACGCGAAAGCGUGGGGAGCGAACAGG
rnacentral:rRNA from 1 species